rnacentral:lncRNA from 1 species
GCUCAGAAAGUGAGAAAUGGGUUUUGUUCUUCCUUGGACUUUAAGUAAGAAAUCAUAAUAAUUAAAGGUGACGGGGGUUAGUGGUGGGGUAUAUCAAGAAGAUGAAGAAGAAGAAGAAGAGUUGCAGAGAAAAAAAAGAACAAGUAGUAUAAAAAAGUGUGUGUGUGUUGCUGUUGCUGUUGCUGUUGCUGUUGUUGAGAGAGAAAGAAAGAAAGACAUUAAACUAUUGACUAGGUAACACAGCAGCAGAAAAUCUUACUUGUUCUUCAGUUUAGUUGUUGGAUAUGGGUUGGGUAUGUUUAUAUCCAGUGGGUUUCAAUCAACCCAAAAUAUAUUAAAUUUUGGGCCUCCAAAUAAUUGGGCCCAAAAUUUUGUUACUGUUUGUUUUGUUCGAUUUAUCUUUUCUAAUUUUGUUUGGAUCUUGUUCGAUUUAUCAAUUUUGUUCGAAUGAUGUCGUUCUAGUUUUCUCUGAACUUAGAGAUCUGUUCGUUUUGUUCGAUUUAUCUUUUCUAAUUUUGCUUGGAUCUUGUUCGAUUUAUAAAUUUUGUUCGAAUGAUGUUGUUCUAGUUUUUUCUGAACUUAGAUCUAUUGUUACUGUUUGCUUUGUUAGAUUUAUCUUUUCUAAUUUUGCUUGGAUCUUGUUCGAUUUAUAAAUUUUGUUCGAAUGAUGUUGUUCUAGUUUUCUCUGAUUUAGAUCUAUUGUUCAAAUAUAAUAUUGCAAUUUUGACUUUGUAGGAAUCUGAAACUCACUACAAGAUUGCUCAUGAUAUUAUGGAAUAUAACAGUGAGGAACCUGAGGCUGAGGUAUAUAAUUCAAAAACUCAUGAUUAUAUAACGUUUUUAGUAUUCAAUAUUGUUGUUGCUUAUUACACAAUCCAAAAAUUAUUCUUUUUUUGUUAUUGAAUAAAACCCACUUCCUUACACUUUGGCACUUUGCUGUAUAGAUUUACAGUGAAUUCAAAGUUUGGUGCAUUGUUUAUUGUUAUAUAUAGCAAAAGGAAUAGUGUUUACUACUGAAUAGAUGAAAAAAAAAGUUAAGAGGUUAGGAAGAACUUUGAUGAACUAAUAGGAGUCAGAAAUUGGUUCUGGAGUUGAGACUUGUGAGGAAACUUCUGAAUUAUAUACUAUAAAAUGGCCAAUUUGUAGUGUUAUAAAUAAACAGAUGUUAAAUUCAUUAUAAAACAUAGACUGCAAUGCAAGGAUACUUCAUACUUUGAUGUACUUGACUUAUUUCAUGUCAUUUUUUUUUCUUCUUCUUCUGGUAUUUGUUAUUUUCUGAAAUUAGGUUGUCAAAGGCAUUCACAAUUAAAAUCCAUGACAUUGUGGGUUUUUGGGUUAGCAUGUAGUGGCAUCCAGUGGUAGAAUUAGAUGGUUCUCAUAUUCAUUAUACAUAAACUUGGAGAUUGUUUUCUUUUGUCAAUUUGAAUUCUACUAAUUAACACAUAUAUGACUUGAAAAACUUAUGCGUAUGGUUGUUUAUUUAUGCAUUCAUAUGCUUUUAUAUAGGAAUGUCCAUUGUUUUUAAUGUUUGGUGUUAUAUUGGUGUUUUUAUAGAUGAUAACUUGAUUGAGAAGCUGGUUGGUUUGUUCACUUACCACCAAAAAAAAAAAAAAAAUUGUAUUUCAAAAAAAAAAACAAAAACAAUUCAAGCCUCAGCCCAUGUCUUUUGGACGUUAUAUUAUGACCCCAUUCGGAUAUCAAAAAAUAAAACUAAGUGCGAGUUUUGUGAACACCAUGGAAUCACUGCACAGGAGAUUUGUGAACACCAUUGACUCACUGCACAUGCAGUAAUCUUUUGCAUGAGAAGCAAGUGUCUAAUCGACCACGAUUGUUACUUGGAUUUGAUGAAUCCAAACUCAAAUCUACGUCCACUUGGCAACUUACUUGAAAGAGACGGAACAAAGGAACAUUGAAAGAAACAAACUAGAAGGAAAUAUUUUCAGGCAAUGGCAAAGAUUGGAAAUGAACGGGAAAGAAACACGAAAAACACAGGAUGGAACGAUUUGAAUUGUUGUUUUAUAUGUAAUUUAGUAUCGUAUUUUUAUAUUUAAUUUAGUGUUGGAAAAUUUUCUUUUCUAGUGUACGAUGACUAGAUUCCCAUAGAAGUGAAUUUACUAUUCAUUUUGCCCAUUAAAAUACCAUUAAUGGUUGGAGAUUGUAGUUGCAUUACAAUUUUUCUAGUGAUAGAAUCUUCGUGGGUAACUGGGUAUGGGAUGUGUAGUAGUUGCAAUAGAUUACUUAUGGGUAGAGGAUAAAGUUUUUAGAAGGGGCUUACGUAUCUCUAUAAAUUUUGAGCUAAAAUAAGAGUCUAGUGGGGUCUAGCAAAGAGAGCGCACUUGUUUUUUUUUAAAUGUAAAUCGUUUGAUUUAUGUUAGCCUCAUAUUUUGUACUUAAAACCACCCUAGCAUUAAUUUUUGUGUGUGUUUUUUUUUUUUUUUUGAAAAUAAUAGACAAACCCAAGGAGUUCUUUACUGUGUAAGAAACAAGGAGCUCUUGCUAGAAGGC